rnacentral:misc_RNA from 1 species
AAGUCGUAACAAGGUUUCCGUAGGUGAACCUGCGGAAGGAUCAUUAACACGAAUUUAUCCACUAUUCCAACCAAACGUGAACUUUUCCCCUCCCUAUUGCUUUGACUUCGGUCUUAGCAGUAGGCUAAACUGUUUUUUAACAACAAACCCCAUACAAACUAAACUAUGGUCUUGACUUUAACCGGUCAUUACCACUUCAAUCCAUCGAACAUUACUAGUCCUCGUUGACUCGGUGUGUUCUGUUCUAUUAACGAACUGAAAAGAGAAAAUACAACUCUUAACAAUGGAUAUCUUGGUUCUC